AACGAACGCUGGCGGCACGCUUAACACAUGCAAGUCGAACGGAGGGUACUUGUACCCUUAGUGGUAAACGGGUGAGUAACGCGUGGGAAUCUGCCUUUUGGUGGGGAAUAACUGAAGAAAACUUCAGCUAAUACCGCAUGAGCUCGGUAACGAGGAAAGAUUUAUCGCCAAGAGAGGAGCCCGCGUCGGAUUAGGUAGUUGGUGGGGUAAUGGCCUACCAAGCCUGUGAUCUGUAGCUGGUCUGAGAGGAUGGUCAGCCACACUGGGAUUGAGAAACGGCCCAGACUCCUACGGGAGGCAGCAGUGAGGAAUAUUGGACAAUGGGGGAAACCCUGAUCCAGCGAUGCCGCGUGGACGAAGAAUGCCUUCGGGUUGUAAAGUCCUUUCACUCGUGAAGAUGGUGACGGUAGCGAGAGAAGAAGCCCCGGCUAACUCUGUGCCAGCCGCCGCAGUAAUAC
rnacentral:rRNA from 1 species